UGCCUGCAGAAGUUUCCGAAAACAUUGGUUUGGUGCAGAUUUGUCCGGUCUUACCUAACACUUCAUGCAGAUGGAAAGCAGACCACGAGGAAAGCGUGUCCAAGAGUCGGAAAGUGUACUUACCAGGGAAAUUGGACCCUCGACUCCCAAACGAAACAAAAAUAUUAGAAAACGUUUGUUUCACAGUAUGAAUACCCUGACACCUAAAUGUAGAAAAAUUUAUAAAAUGUAUCGACUGUCCAAGAAGCAGUUAGAUUUUAAUAAAAGAGCAAAAAGG